rnacentral:rRNA from 1 species
ACGAACGCUGGCGGCGUGCUUAACACAUGCAAGUCGAACGGAAAGGCCCUGCUUUUGUGGGGUGCUCGAGUGGCGAACGGGUGAGCAACACGUGAGUAACCUGCCCUUGACUUUGGGAUAACUUCAGGAAACUGGGGCUAAUACCGGAUAGGAGCUCCUGCUGCAUGGUGGGGGUUGGAAAGUUUCGGCGGUUGGGGAUGGACUCGCGGCUUAUCAGCUUGUUGGUGGGGUAGUGGCUUACCAAGGCUUUGACGGGUAGCCGGCCUGAGAGGGUGACCGGCCACAUUGGGACUGAGAUACGGCCCAGACUCCUACGGGAGGCAGCAGUGGGGAAUAUUGCACAAUGGGCGGAAGCCUGAUGCAGCAACGCCGCGUGCGGGAUGACGGCCUUCGGGUUGUAAACCGCUUUCGCCUGUGACGAAGCGUGAGUGACGGUAAUGGGUAAAGAAGCACCGGCUAACUACGUG